rnacentral:tRNA from 1 species
GGGGGGGUAGCGAAGUGGCUAAACGCGGCGGACUGUAAAUCCGCUCCCUCGGGUUCGGCGGUUCGAAUCCGCCUCCCCCCACCA